rnacentral:tRNA from 1 species
GGGGUUGUGGCUCAGCGGUAGAGCGCUCGCCUAACACGUGCGGGGAGCUGGGUUUGAUCCUCAGCACCACA